rnacentral:rRNA from 1 species
CAGUCGCCGCGGGAAUACGAAGGGUGCAAGCGUUACUCGGAAUUACUGGGCGUAAAGCGUGUGUAGGUGGAUGUUUAAGUCUGUCGUGAAAGCCCUGGGCUCAACCUGGGAAUUGCGAUGGAUACUGGGCGACUAGAGUGCGGUAGAGGAUAGUGGAAUUUCCGGUGUAGCAGUGAAAUGCGUAGAGAUCGGAAGGAACAUCUGUGGCGAAGGCGACUAUCUGGGCCAACACUGACACUGAGACACGAAAGCGUGGGGAGCAAACAGGAUUAGAUACCCCGGUAGUCCCUGUCUCUUAUAC